GACGAACGCUGGCGGCGUGCCUAAUACAUGCAAGUCGAGCGGAUGACGGAGGAGCUUGCUCCUCCUGAUUCAGCGGCGGACGGGUGAGUAACACGUGGGCAACCUGCCCUGUAGAUUGGGAUAAAUCCGGGAAACCGGGGCUAAUACCGAAUAAUCCUUCGGACCUCAUGGUCCGAUGUUGAAUGACGGCAUCCCGCUGCCACUACAGGAUGGUCGCGCGGCGCAUUAGCUAGUUGUUGAGGUAACGGCUCACCAAGGCCACGAUGCGUAGCCGACCUGAGAGGGUGAUCGGCCACACUGGGACUGAGACACGGCCCAGACUCCUACGGGAGGAAGCAGUAGGGAAUCUUCCACAAUGGACGAAAGUCUGAUGGAGCAACGCCGCGUGAGUGAAGAAGGUUCUCGGAUCGUAAAACUCUGUUGUGAGGGAAGAACAAGUACCGGAGUAACUGCCGGUGCCUUGACGGUACCUCAUUAGAAAGCCACGGCUAACUACGUGCCAGCAGCCGCCGUAA
rnacentral:rRNA from 1 species